AGUCAAUAGAUACCCAGGUAGUCCACGCCGUAAACGAUGAGUACUAGGUGUAGGAGGUAUCGACUCCUUCUGUGCCGCAGUUAACACAAUAAGUACUCCGCCUGGGAAGUACGGUCGCAAGAUUAAAACUCAAAGGAAUUGACGGGGGCCCGCACAAGCAGCGGAGCAUGUGGUUUAAUUCGAAGCAACGCGAAGAACCUUACCUAGACUUGACAUCUCCUGAAUAGUGUAGAGAUACAUGAAGCCCUUCGGGGCGAGGAAGACAGGUGGUGCAUGGUUGUCGUCAGCUCGUGUCGUGAGAUGUUGGGUUAAGUCCCGCAACGAGCGCAACCCUUAUUACUAGUUGCUACCAUUAAGUUGAGCACUCUAGUGAGACUGCCCGGGUUAACC
rnacentral:rRNA from 1 species